UUAAAGACAAUGACAGAGAAAAGUAGUUUGCUUCCUUCCAUUCAGGGAGAAAAUGCCGUGACUGAAAGCAUUUUUAUGUGAAGAGCAAACGAAGUUCACCUCUCGAGUCGGCGUUUGGACCAUUUCCGAGGAAAUGUAAAGACGCCCCGGUUCAAUAGCCGUUAUUUGUAUGAAGAGAGUAUGCCGCGAACGGUUCGGCAUGCUAAAAAGGGUGGUACCGCGAUCCAACCUCGUCCCUUUC
rnacentral:ncRNA from 1 species